GACCCGGGGCGUUAACCUCGGAAUUGCAUUUGUAAACUAGGCAGGCUAGAGUCUUGUAGAGGGGGGUAGGAAGUUUCUAGGUGUAGCGGUGAAAUAGCGUAGAGAUCUGAAGGAAUACCAGUGGCGAAGGCGGCCCCCCUCGGACAAAGACUGACGCUCAGAUGCGAAAGCGUGGGGAGCAAACAGGAUUAGAUACCCCUGGUAG
rnacentral:rRNA from 1 species